UACGUAGGGGGCAAGCGUUUGUCCGGAAUCAUUGGGCGUAAAGCGCGUGUAGGCGGCUCGGUAAGUCUGCUGUGAAAGUCCAGGGCUCAACCCUGGAAGGCCGGUGGAAACUGUCGGGCUAGAGUGCGGUAGGGGAGACUGGAAUUCCUGGUGUAGCGGUGAAAUGCGCAGAUAUCAGGAAGAACACCCGUGGCGAAGGCGGUUCUCUGGGACGGUACUGACGCUGAGACGCGAAAGCGUGGGGAGCGAACAGG
rnacentral:rRNA from 1 species